rnacentral:rRNA from 1 species
AUUCCAGCUCCAAUAGCGUAUAUUAAAGUUGUUGCAGUUAAAAAGCUCGUAGUUGGAUUUGUGGUUGGGUCCGUCGGUCCGGCACAUUGUGCGGGUACUUGAUGGACUCGUCCAUCCUUGGGUGGAAUCUGUGUGGCAUUAAGUUGUCGUGCAGGGGAUGCCCAUCGUUUACUGUGAAAAAAUUAGAGUGUUCAAAGCAGGCUUAUGCCGUUGAAUAUAUUAGCAUGGAAUAAUGAGAUAGGACCUUGGUACUAUUUUGUUGGUUUGCGCACCGAGGUAAUGAUUAAUAGGGACAGUUGGGGGUAUUCGUAUUCCAUUGUCAGAGGUGAAAUUCUUGGAUUUUUGGAAGACGAACUACUGCGAAAGCAUUUACCAAGGAUGUUUUCAUUA